UUCGAGUGGCGGACGGGUGAGUAACGCGUGGGUAACCUGCCUUACACAGGGGGAUAACACCUGGAAACAGGUGCUAAUACCGCAUAAGCGCACAGGGCCGCAUGGCCCGGUGUGAAAAACUCCGGUGGUGUAAGAUGGACCCGCGUCUGAUUAGCUUGUUGGCGGGGUAGAGGCCCACCAAGGCGACAAUCAGUAGCCGGCCUGAGAGGGUGGACGGCCACAUUGGGACUGAGACACGGCCCAAACUCCUACGGAAGGCAGCAG
rnacentral:rRNA from 1 species